AUGGAGGGAGGAGGGAGCAGCUGGGCGAGCAUGGAGGGCUAUCUGAACGAGUACUUCCACAUCCCGGCCAAGAACCCGCCGAGCGACGCCCGCCUCCGGUGGCGCCGCGCCGUGGGGCUCGUCGUCCGCAACCGCCGCCGCCGCUUCCGCGAGUUCUCCGCCCUCGGCGCCAUCGACGACGCCCAGCGCCGCAGGAUCCUGGGAAAAGUCCAGGUUGUGAUUAAUGUGCACAGGGCAGCAUUGCACUUUAUCAAUGGCGUAAAACAAUACCACUUAACACAUGAGCUUGCUGAGGAAGGAUUUUCUAUCAGCCCGGAUGAACUGGCAGAAAUUACUGGCAUGCGCGAAGAUUCGACAAUCUUGAAGCUGCAUGGUGGAACCAGCGGAAUAUCUAGGAAAAUCAAAGCCUCUCUGCAAGAUGGUGUCAAUGAAAUUGAAAUAACAACCAGACAGAAACUGUAUGGUACUAACAUGCACGCCGAGAAGCCCGCUAGAAGCUUCUGGAUGUUUGUGUGGGAUGCACUACAUGACCUGACUCUGAAUAUUCUCAUAGUGUGUGCUCUGGUUUCUCUGGUUGUUGGCCUAGCCACCGAGGGGUGGCCGAAGGGUAUAUAUGAUGGUCUUGGCAUAAUACUCAGCAUUUUGUUGGUGGUACUAGUUACUGCCUCCAGUGAUUACAAGCAGUCAAGGAAGUUUAUGGAGCUGGACCGUGAGAAGCAGAAAAUAUAUGUCCUUGUUACUAGAGAUAAGAAAACCAAGAAGGUUUUGAUUCAAGACUUGGUCGUCGGCGACAUCUUGCAUCUUUCGAUUGGUGAUGUGGUUCCUGCAGAUGGCUUGUUUAUAUCUGGCUACUGUCUACUGGUAGAUGAAUCUAGCUUGUCAGGUGAGAGUGAGCCAAUUCAAGUUUCUGAAGAAAAGCCUUUUCUCCAUGGUGGGAGUAAGGUGGUUGAUGGGACGGCUAAGAUGCUUGUCACUGCCGUCGGUUCACGUACCGAGUGGGGGAAAAUCAUGGGCACUCUUAGUGACAAUGGAGUGGAUGAGACUCCUUUGCAAGUUAAGCUCAAUGGUGUGGCUACGAUCAUUGGACAGAUUGGACUUGUGUUUGCUAUUCUCACAUUUGUAGUACUUCUAGCAAGGUUCUUGGUUAACAAGGGAAUGGAUGUCGGUUUGAUGAAUUGGUCGGCAAACGAUGCAUUGACGAUAGUCAACUACUUCGCUAUUGCCGUGACCAUCAUCGUAGUCGCAGUCCCUGAAGGUCUACCGUUGGCUGUGACCCUUAGUCUUGCAUUUGCCAUGAAGAAGUUGAUGAAUGACAAAGCACUAGUCAGGCAUCUCGCGGCGUGUGAAACGAUGGGUUCAGUCAGCUGUAUUUGCACUGAUAAGACAGGAACUUUGACAACCAACCACAUGAUUGUCGAUAUGGUUUGGAUCGGCAAUAUAUCCAAGUCAGUUAAUGGUGAUUCAAAAAUCACCGAGCUAAAAUCUGUAAUUUCAGAAAGAUCUAUGGCAAUACUUAUACAAGGCAUAUUCGUGAACACCGGAUCUGAGGUGGUGAAGGGAGAUGAUGGCAAAAGGACCAUCUUGGGCACACCAACUGAAGCAGCAUUGUUGGAGUUUGGCUUGACCGUAGAAGGAGAUCGAUAUACUGAAUACAAUAAGAUUCGAAGAGUAAGAGUAGAGCCUUUCAAUUCAGUCAAGAAAAAGAUGUCAGUGAUAAUACACUUACCAAAUGGAGGCUUCCGAUCCUUCUGUAAAGGUGCACCAGAAAUUAUUCUAGAACACUGUGAUACCAUGCUGAACGGUGAAGGGGAUAUAGUACCACUGUCAGAUAUGCAGAAGCAAAAUGUCUUGAACAUAAUCAAUUCAUUUGCUUCUGAGGCGUUGAGAACACUUUGCAUUGCAUUUCAGGAUCUUAAUGAAUUUUCUGACGAGCAAACUAUACCAGAAAAUGGAUACACGCUAAUAGCGCUUUUUGGUAUCAAGGACCCAGUUCGUCCGGGUGUCAGGGAUGCAGUAAUGACCUGCAUGGCUGCUGGUAUUACGGUAAGGAUGGUUACCGGAGACAACAUCAACACUGCAAAAGCCAUUGCCAAGGAAUGUGGGAUAUUAACCGAGGAUGGCAUAGCGAUAGAAGGACGAGAGCUUCACGGUAAGAGCGAGGAUGAACUGAGGGAGCUCCUCCCUAAAAUUCAGGUAAUGGCCCGUUCGUUGCCUAUGGACAAGUUCAAAUUGGUAACAAGCCUGAAAAGCAUGUAUCAAGAGGUAGUUGCAGUUACUGGUGAUGGAACCAAUGAUGCCCCGGCAUUGUGUGAGUCAGAUAUUGGACUGGCAAUGGGUAUUGCUGGCACUGAGGUCGCAAAAGAGAACGCUGAUGUCAUAAUAAUGGAUGACAAUUUCAAAACUAUCAUAAAUGUUGCUAGAUGGGGGCGUGCAGUUUACGUGAACAUCCAAAAGUUUGUGCAGUUCCAGCUUACAGUUAAUAUAGUGGCUCUGAUAGUGAAUUUUGUCUCGGCGUGUGUCAUAGGGACUGCACCUCUUACUGCUGUCCAGUUGCUAUGGGUUAACAUGAUCAUGGAUACAUUGGGAGCGUUGGCCUUAGCAACAGAACCGCCAAAUGAUGAGAUGAUGAAGUGGUCGCCUGUAAGGCGCGGAGAUAGUUUUAUCACUAAGGUUAUGUGGAGAAAUAUUCUUGGCCAGGCUUUGUAUCAGCUCCUUGUAUUGGGCACCCUCAUGAUAGUUGGAAAGAGACUCCUUGAUAUUGAAGGUCCAACAGCCGAUAAAACGAUCAAUACUCUCAUAUUCAACUCUUUCGUCUUUUGCCAGGUUUUCAACGAAAUAAACAGCAGGGAAAUGGACAAGAUCAACGUCUUCCGAGGGAUAUUCAGAAAUUGGAUCUUUGUCGGCAUACUGACAGCUACAGUAAUAUUCCAAGUGAUCAUAGUGGAACUUCUUGGAACUUUCGCAAACACCGUGCCGUUGAGUUUGGAACUAUGGUCGCUCAGCGUCGUUCUUGGCUCAGUUAGUAUGAUUGUCUCCGUGAUCCUCAAGUGCAUUCCAGUUGAAUCUGGGAAGAGAUUUACCAAGCCGCACGGGUAUGAGCUGAUCCCUGAAGGCCCGGAAGCUCUCUAG
rnacentral:rRNA from 1 species